rnacentral:lncRNA from 1 species
CUUUUUUCUGGUUUUACCAAAGCCAGAUCUGUGUCUCUAUCAGCACAGAGGAAAAAAGUAAUUACUGAAGUAUUAGUGUGAUUAUUAUUUCCUGAUACGAAUUGCUGCAUUCCUUACUUGUAUCUGGUCCUUUCCCUGGGCUGGAGUUAGGAAAUUGAAAAACAAACUCACCUUGGACAAAGCCUGUAUUGAUUAUCUUUUAAUCUCGUUUGUGUUGGAGAAAGCUUUGAGAGUUUAACGAAAGAGGAAAAACCCUCUCCUUGAAGAAUUCACGUUUUCUCACACCUACAAAAUGGGACGUGAUUUCAAGAGAUUCACAAACCUCUUGAAGCCCCUGAGGACCCUUGAGGAAUCUGUGGACCCUGGUUGAGAACCUCUGGUCUAUACAGUCAAAAAUGAAAUGGGAGAACUGCUUGCUGAAAUUGGACAGUGACAAUUGUCUACUAAUUCUGCAGUACAUUUUGGGAGGUCAGAGUAAACCUGAAUUACAUUCGCCGUGUAGUUGCUCAAGCCUCUGCUAUGGCAUUGAUUCAGUGGGUGGACCUCAGCUUUCCCAAUGCCCACACCUCCAUGCCAACCCAAACAUACGCGAAGGUUCUAGAGAGAGGAGGAAGAGGAGCAGGAAAUCAUUUAAGACUUUUCAUUUUUCAAAGCUUUGCUGGGAUACCUACCCUUGA